UUGGNNGUUGUGCCCUUGAGGCGUGGCUUCCGGAGCUAACGCGUUAAGUCGACCGCCUGGGGAGUACGGCCGCAAGGUUAAAACUCAAAUGAAUUGACGGGGGCCCGCACAAGCGGUGGAGCAUGUGGUUUAAUUCGAUGCAACGCGAAGAACCUUACCUACUCUUGACAUCCAGAGAACUUNNNAGAGAUGCUUUGGUGCCUUCGGGAACUCUGAGACAGGUGCUGCAUGGCUGUCGUCAGCUCGUGUUGUGAAAUGUUGGGUUAAGUCCCGCAACGAGCGCAACCCUUAUCCUUUGUUGCCAGCGGUNNGGCCGGGAACUCAAAGGAGACUGCCAGUGAUAAACUGGAGGAAGGUGGGGAUGACGUCAAGUCAUCAUGGCCCUUACGAGUAGGGCUACACACGUGCUACAAUGGCGCAUACAAAGAGAAGCGACCUCGCGAGAGCAAGCGGACCUCAUAAAGUGCGUCGUAGUCCGGAUUGGAGUCUGCAACUCGACUCCAUGAAGUCGGAAUCGCUAGUAAUCGUAGAUCAGAAUGCUACGGUGAAUACGUUCCCGGGCCUUGUACACACCGCCCGUCACACCAUGGGAGUGGGUUGCAAAAGAAGUAGGUAGCUUAACCUUCGGGAGGGCGCUUACCACUUU
rnacentral:rRNA from 2 species